GGGAUAUUGCGCAAUGGGGGAAACCCUGACGCAGCAACGCCGCGUGGAGGAUGACGGUUUUCGGAUUGUAAACUCCUUUUAUAAGGGACGAACUAAGACGGUACCUUAUGAAUAAGCUCCGGCUAACUACGUGCCAGCAGCCGCGGUAAUACGUAGGGAGCAAGCGUUGUCCGGAUUUACUGGGUGUAAAGGGUGCGUAGGCGGCUUGGUAAGUCAGAUGUGAAAUGUAUGGGCUCAACCCAUGAACUGCAUUUGAAACUAUCGAGCUUGAGUGAUGUAGAGGCAGGCGGAAUUCCCUGUGUAGCGGUGAAAUGCGUAGAGAUAGGGAGGAACACCAGUGGCGAAGGCGGCCUGCUGGGCAUUAACUGACGCUGAGGCACGAAAGCGUGGGUAGCAAACA
rnacentral:rRNA from 1 species